AUCCAUCAUUAGGGAGGCCAACUCAGUCUGGUGUCGACGUCCACACUGCACGUACUCGGUAUGCACAGUGCGCAAGCAAGCGGCAUGUUUCAAGUAUUCUGUGGGUGGAAUGUAUUCAAUUGUCGUUGGUCACUGACGGGCAAUUGAUAUCUUGUAGUAUGUCAGAGGCGGCUUCGGGUCCAACAGGCGGUGGCGUCAAAUCAGUGUAGUUGAACAGUGGCAGCGUGCGGCAAUUGAUCACGCGGCCGUCAUCGCAGCGCCCGUACGCGGCUUCGGACAGCUCUUCAGCGUCUACCAGGAGUUGUUGUUUGUCGUUGCCGACGACCGCAGCAGAUUGUGUCAAAGUCACCAGCGCUGCUACGCCUGCGGAAAGAAACAGAAAGAUGACCUUGAACUUCCACACCAGUUAUCUCAGUAAGGUCCAGUAGUAAAAAAAUAUUUAUAAAUUACGUACUUAUUAGUUAUUACUUAUUAGUUAUUAAUCAUAAUAAAAUUAGAAAUUUAAUAUUGU